rnacentral:rRNA from 1 species
AAGCACCGGCUAACUACGUGCCAGCAGCCGCGGUAAUACGUAGGGUGCAAGCGUUAAUCGGAAUUACUGGGCGUAAAGCGUGUGUAGGCGGUUCGGAAAGAAAGAUGUGAAAUCCCAGGGCUCAACCUUGGAACUGCAUUUUUAACUGCCGAGCUAGAGUAUGUCAGAGGGGGGUAGAAUUCCACGUGUAGCAGUGAAAUGCGUAGAUAUGUGGAGGAAUACCGAUGGCGAAGGCAGCCCCCUGGGAUAAUACUGACGCUCAGACACGAAAGCGUGGGGAGCAAACAGGAUUAGAUACCCUGGUAGUCCACGCCCUAAACGAUGUCAACUAGCUGUUGGGGCCGUUAGGCCUUAGUAGCGCAGCUAACGCGUGAAGUUGACCGCCUGGGGAGUACGGUCGCAAG